UACAGAGGUGCGGUUUUUAUCAGUACGUCUCAAUCAGGACUCCGCCGUCCGUUAACCUGAGACUGAAAGGAAACGCCGCCGAAGGAAAUUGUUAGCUGGCGGAGCAGAUUUUCUGGUUCAUUGGUUAACAGCCCUUGAACUGUCACCUUUCAGUUGUAAGGUGGAGCGCUG
rnacentral:ncRNA from 1 species